UACCUGUCUCCCUGCGACAAUGUUUCCUUGCGGAGCGUCUCCUGCGCAGUGAGCUGCGUCUCUAUGUCCUCAGGCAGCUGCCCUGAUGGUCCUAGCUCCGAGGGCGCUCCGAAGCCCUAAGCUCAAGAUCAUUUAUUCUAGCGCAGUUCUAGAUAGAGCUGUAGAAUUCUAAGAACACAACUGAAGGAUUGUGCUGGAUCAGACCAAAGACUUAACUAGCUUAAUUGGAUGAUCUCUGGGAAUUUUAUGAUCAGUUUGGAAUCUGGGUUUGGAGCUGUUAGCAGAGCACUGAGCAGAAGCAGGUGACAUCAGGCAUGAGGCAAAGUAAGACAAAGACAACACUUAGGUAGAUUGUAGAAAUAGUUCUCUGCCCAGAGGACUGCUGGAAGGUGCUAACUUUUUGUUAUUGAGAGUGCUACAGAGAACACGUAGACAAUCAACAUACUAGCAUCAGAUAAACACCACCACCACAGAAUAAUGUGGAAAACCUGAGAAGACGGAAUGAGCCACAUCCUGUGAAUAUGCAGUCAGCAGAAUGAAGGUUAUAUCUUUAGCAAAAAUGUUCUGCAUAGAGCUCUGAAGAGGUGAAGAAUCUGUAUAAAGGGGAGAAACUACAAAUACUUGUUUCUUGUAGAGCAUCUCAUUUUGAGGAGCAGAUAUAGUGAAGAGCUGUGCAUUGUAACUGUGGAAAGCAAACGCACUGACUUCAGUCUGAUGGUAUUCUCACUGUUCUCUAACCAUGAUUGGGAAGCUGCAAUUACAAAUGCCAUUUAAAGCCAGCCUCUGCAGCCAUAUUUUCUGGAAGAGGGCCAAUCUGCUUUGUAAUACCAUUUUCCAACCCAUCUUCACUUAAAUGUUUACCUUGUAUUUCUACAUUUUUGCACAUGCCAGCUAUCCAAAAAGUA